GCGCGAGUGCUGUAAUUGGUAGCCAGGCUACGUUGAGGUCGUAGUGUCCUAACGGACGUGGAGGUUCAAGUCCUCUCUCGCGCACCA
rnacentral:tRNA from 1 species